GAUGAACGCUGGCGGCGUGCCUAAUACAUGCAAGUCGAGCGAACAGACGAGGAGCUUGCUCCUUUGACGUUAGCGGCGGACGGGUGAGUAACACGUAGGUAACCUACCUAUAAGACUGGGAUAACUUCGGGAAACCGGAGCUAAUACCGGAUAAUAUUUCGAACCGCAUGGUUCGAUAGUGAAAGAUGGCUUUGCUAUCACUUAUAGAUGGACCUGCGCCGUAUUAGCUAGUUGGUAAGGUAACGGCUUACCAAGGCAACGAUACGUAGCCGACCUGAGAGGGUGAUCGGCCACACUGGAACUGAGACACGGUCCAGACUCCUACGGGAGGCAGCAGUAGGGAAUCUUCAGCAAUGGGCGAAAGCCUGACGGAGCAACGCCGCGUGAGUGAUGAAGGUCUUCGGAUCGUAAAACUCUGUUAUUAGGGAAGAACAAACGUGUAAGUAACUGUGCACGUCUUGACGGUACCUAAUCAGAAAGCCACGGCUAACUACGUG
rnacentral:rRNA from 1 species